CAUGCCGUAAACGAUGAUAGCUAGGUGUGGGGGGACUGACCCCUUCCGUGCCGCAGCAAACGCAAUAAGCUAUCCACCUGGGGAGUACGACCGCAAGGUUGAAACUCAAAGGAAUUGACGGGGGCCCGCACAAGCAGUGGAGUAUGUGGUUUAAUUCGAAGCAACGCGAAGAACCUUACCAGGUCUUGACAUCCCGAUGACCGCUCUAGAGAUAGAGUUUUCCCUUCGGGGACAUUGGUGACAGGUGG
rnacentral:rRNA from 1 species